CGGAGGAUCCAAGCGUUAUCCGGAAUCAUUGGGUUUAAAGGGUCCGUAGGCGGUUUUAUAAGUCAGUGGUGAAAUCCGGCAGCUCAACUGUCGAACUGCCAUUGAUACUGUAGGACUUGAAUUAUUAUGAAGUAACUAGAAUAUGUAGUGUAGCGGUGAAAUGCUUAGAUAUUACAUGGAAUACCAAUUGCGAAGGCAGGUUACUAAUAAUGGAUUGACGCUGAUGGACGAAAGCGUGGGGAGCGAACAGGAUUAGAUACCCUGGUAGUCCACGCCGUAAACGAUGGAUACUAGCUGUUCGGUAGCAAUACUGAGUGGCUAAGCGAAAGUGAUAAGUAUCCCACCUGGGGAGUACGAACGCAAGUUUG
rnacentral:rRNA from 1 species